ensembl:lncRNA
GGAGAGGUAUGGAUCUGAAGGAUGGUCUAUUCUGUGGAUAAGGAACUGAAGUGGUUGGAUGGUCACAGCCAUAGGAUUGUGGUCAAGAGCACUAUGUCCAGGUGGAAACUGGUGAUGAGUGGUGUCCCCCUGGGGUUUGUCUAGGGACUAAUGCUCUACAGCAUCUCUAUUGAUGAAUUGAGACAGUGGGAUGAGAUGCACCCUCAGCUAGUUUGCAGAUGACACUUAUCUGGGGGGUCCAGUUGAUACAGUGGAUGGUAGGGAUGCUAUCCAAAGGACAUGGACAAGCUUGAGAAGUGAGUCC